rnacentral:rRNA from 1 species
AUUGAACGCUGGCGGCAGGCCUAACACAUGCAAGUCGAACGAGUGGCGGACGGGUGAGUAAUGUCUGGGAAACUGCCUGAUGGAGGGGGAUAACUACUGGAAACGGUCGCUAAUACCGCAUACCAUCAGAUGUGCCCAGAUGGGAUGAGCUUGUUGUUGGGGUAACGGCUCACCAAGGCGACGAUCCCUAGCUGGCCUGAGAGGAUGACCAGCCACACGGGAAAUGAGACACGGGCCAGACUCCUACGUGAGGCAGCAGUGGUGAAUAUUGCACAAUGGGCGCAAGCCUGAUGCAGCCACGCCGCGUGUAUGAAGAAGGCCUUCGGGUUGUAAAGUACUUUAAGCGGGGAGGCGUUACCCGCAGAAGAAGCACCGGCUAACUCAGUGCCAGAAGCCGCGGUAAUUC